AUCUUGAGUUGGAAUUGUCAUGGCUUGGGUAAUCCAGCGACAGUUCGAGAGGUCCGUGAACUCAUUACCAGAUUUACCCCAGACGUGUUAUGCCUCGUGGAAACUCAACUUUCUAUCUCACACACCAAAAUUUUAGCCCACUCUUUGGGUUUCAAUAAGUCUAAUCCAGUUGGGAGUUCCGGAAGGAGUGGCGGCCUUGUAUCUAUUGGAAUGAUGAAAUAA
rnacentral:rRNA from 1 species